UACGGGGGGGGGUAAGCGUUGUUCGGAAUUACUGGGCGUAAAGGGCUCGUAGGCGGCCAACUAAGUCAGACGUGAAAUCCCUCAGCUUAACUGGGGAACUGCGUCUGAUACUGGAUGGCUUGGAUUCGGGAGAGGAAUGCGGAAUUCCAGGUGUAGCGGUGAAAUGCGUAGAUAUCUGGAGGAACACCGGUGGCGAAGGCGGCAUCCUGGACCGGUAUUGACGCUGAUGCGCGAAAGCCAGGGGAGCAAACGGG
rnacentral:rRNA from 1 species